GGAAACUUCUAGAAGGGUGGGAAGGACAAGGUGGAGAAAACACAGCCAACUUUUCCAUCAGGCAUGAACUGAGGCUGCUUUGAAGUCGCCAGUGAGCAGGACCUGACCUUCCUUUCCAGUAUGUGCAGCAUUAAAUAUUCAUAAUCCACGCAACUGAAGCAUAAGAAGGAGCAGCAUUUAAGCAUGAAUCAAAGGAAUAACUAUCUCCCCACAUGACAAUAUUUCUUAGCUAGACAGUGAUCACUGCAAAUGAUCUAAAUGACACUUCCCGUAGAGAUCAAAUGAGGGAAAUAAAGAUCCAAAGGAGGAAUUCUCAAACACAUCACUGAAAAAGACCCACUCGGAGAUCCGUCUGUCUUGCACUAAGGACUAAAAUUUGAGUGAAGAUGUGUGGAAAUACUACAAUCAAGUGAAUUUUGAAAGGGCCUUUGCACAUCCUGUUCCAGCCUUCUGGAAGUGCCACUUCUCACAGGCUACGUAACCAUCAGAAAUCAAUUCCACAAUCAUUUCCUGCCUACUGGAUGUACGAAGUUACCUGUAAGUACAGACUUGGUAGCAGUCAGCACUACAACAGUGACGUGUUUCUUUACUGUCUUUUGAUCAGCGUGUCUCCCCUACGCUGGCCUGCAAGUGCUCUGAUGGCAGGGUGCAUGUCA